UGGGAUGAUGAAUUAAUUACCUUGAAUGGUCCUUCCCAUUUGCUCCGGAGUUUUCCAUGCCCGAAAAACUUCACCCUAGAAUUAAAAAGUAAUACCUUAUCUCUGGGUGUGAACUCCUUCUUCUUGAUUCUCUUGUCAUGCCACCUUUUGACUCUUUCUUUGUAGAUCUUUGAAUUGUGAUAUGCCUUCUCUCGCCAUUCUUCCA
rnacentral:lncRNA from 1 species